UACGAAGGGGGCUAGCGUUGUUCGGAAUCACUGGGCGUAAAGGGCGCGUAGGCGGCUUUGUAAGCCGGGGGUGAAAGCCUGUGGCUCAACCACAGAAUUGCCUUCGAUACUGCAUGGCUUGAGACCGGAAGAGGUUAGUGGAACUGCGAGUGUAGAGGUGAAAUUCGUAGAUAUUCGCAAGAACACCAGUGGCGAAGGCGGCUGACUGGUCCGGAUCUGACGCUGAGGCGCGAAAGCGUGGGGAGCAAACAGG
rnacentral:rRNA from 1 species